AAAACCGUCACCGAUUGGGUCCACUUCCGCACACUAACUGGCUCGCCUGAGCCAACCGCAAGCCACACACGGGGACCCAUCGGAUAUUAGGGCCGAGGAGUAAGAGGAGCGAGUGCAUGCCCGGACACGGCACUAUACCUUUCGUUUCAGCAGCUUUCCUGCCGCGCGAACACACCAUCAUCAUCCAAUUGCAAUGGUUCAGUGAAGGUGAAAUGGCAAGCACCAACCAGUACGUGGAGGCAGCACACAUGCGAACCUCUCCUCGACUUCGGUGUGCGUUUUCAGACGUCCAAUAAUUUAACGAAAAGGGCUUGAUUGUAUAUCGUGAAGUGAUCGCCCGCUCGCGAGGGAGAAGCCAACACUAAAACUCCACGGGCAAAAUGUACGGGCAAUUAGUAGCUUCCUUUUGUGUGCUGCUACACUUUCCCAUUUGCUUGCUGCUAUACUCAAACAGCUAUACUACUGGGGAGGAUGAUUGAGCGUAUGUGGCAUUGAUAAAAUCAACAAUUUAUGUAUUCAUUCCUAUCGUCUAAUCUGACUACUCCGUGCCGUUGGAUUUAAGGGAAUUAAAUCACCCUAAAAUCAUCUAAUCAUAUACACGUGCGCCCUACAACUUCGUCAUCGUUUCAAUGUAUCUAUCUGGGUUUAACUUCCGACCGAACUUUAACUAACAAAAUCCCCCUGUCCCGCCAAUUAAAACUCCAUCAUUAGAGAAACGUUUUGUAUGCAGUUACACACAGAUCCGCCGGUGCGAGAUGUAUCUUAUCAAUCUCAAACAAACUGCGUCUGCAUCGGAGACGUCAAACCACCCACUCUAGGCGCGCUGAGUGAAAAUUACCCAUCCGUUGCAGGCCCCCGUCGUAAAGGAAAGCA